rnacentral:lncRNA from 1 species
AUUUAACCAGUUAACCAGGAAUGCACCAAGGGCAGCACUGAGCUUGGGGCUGAUGAAGUGGGUCAGAAAUGGCAAGAAAAGUAUGUGUGUGAUACGUCCCAGCAAAUAAAGGAGCUGCUCACCCUCAUCAAAUGACCAGGGGGCUGAGAUUCCUGAACACUGAGCUUAGCUGCCCCAGCCACCCAGCUGUAGGAGCCACCAUGCCACCAAAAAUUUGCAUUGGCUCUCAGUCCCUUUCUCUUCUACGUCCAUGUGAAAUAUCUUGCUCUGCAAAGAUGCUCACUUGAUUGAGGGGCAUGACCUUCUCAGAGAAGGAACAGCCUUCUUUUCUUUUCUUUCUUUUUCUUUUUUUUUGUGUGUGUGACGCUGGUGAUUGAACCCAGGGCUUUGUGCAUGCGAGGCAAGCACUCUAACAACUGAGCUACAUCCCCAGCCCAAACAGCCCUUUUUAAUUCAGUGACAACUUUCAGAGAUACAUCUGGAAGUAUUUAUGGGCGACACAAUAUCUAGGAUUUAUUUCAAAAUUCUUCAGCAGCAAUAACUACAAAAAACAACAAAACUAGGAGAGGGGUAAAUGAUGACAAAUUGCAGAUGGACACUGGCUGAAACUGAGCAAUGUCAUUUAUUGUGGGGCAGGCCCAAGGUGCUACAGUAUGGUUCCCUCACUGAGAAUGGCCACCAGCUAUGUUUUAGUAUGUAGUCAAGGUCAUAAACACUCUGAUUCAGUAUCUGUGCUCAAGGUCAUAACUAUCUGCUUGUGAGCAUGUGCUCACUUAUGUAAGUCUUGGCACUGUCUUCUUAGGCCUGCACAUAAAGAAAAAAAAAAAGACCUAUUGGAAAAACUCAGGGGGUUGCUGCUGCCUUCAAAU